UGAAGCUCCAGAAUUGUUUUGUGGACUACAAAACAUCACCUGACUUUCCAUCAGCAUGGGGCAUGGCCGACCUGAACGAGUGAAAACACGACCUGGCAGUGUAGCUGUGAUCCUCUAUCUGGACCGACACGCAGACUUCAUGCACUGUUGAAAUUUUGACCUUUUUAACAGUCUGUCAACAACUACAUGAGACUCCUGUAUUUAAUACCAAAGUUGAGUCAUGUUU